rnacentral:rRNA from 1 species
GGACUACCGGGGUAUCUAAUCCCGUUUGCUCCCCUAGCCUUCGUGCCUCAGCGUCAGAAUCUGACCAGAGCUUCGCUUUCGCUGCGAGCGUUCUUCUCGAAAUCUACGCAUUUCACUGCUACACCGAGAAUUCCAAGCUCCUCUUCAGACCUCGAGCAAAGCAGUAUCAGGUGCUAGUUGAGGGUUGAGCCCUCAAAUUUCACACCCGACUUACUCCGCCGCCUACGCACCCUUUACGCCCAGUGAUUCCGAACAACGCUUGAGACCUCUGUAUUACCGCGGCGGCUGGCAC